GCACAAGCGGUGGAGCAUGUGGCUUAAUUCGACGCAACGCGAAGAACCUUACCAAGGCUUGACAUACACCGGAAAGCAUUAGAGAUAGUGCCCCCCUUGUGGUCGGUGUACAGGUGGUGCAUGGCUGUCGUCAGCUCGUGUCGUGAGAUGUUGGGUUAAGUCCCGCAACGAGCGCAACCCUUGUCCUUAGUUGCCAGCAUUAAGUUGGGCACUCUAAGGAGACCGCCGGUGACAAACCGGAGGAAGGUGGGGAUGACGUCAAGUCAUCAUGGCCUUUAUGGCCAGGGCUACACACGUGCUACAAUGGCAGAUACAGAGGGAAGCCAACGCGCGAGCGGGAGCCAAUCCCAGAAAAUCUGUCGUAGUCCGGAUCGGAGUCUGCAACUCGACUCCGUGAAGUCGGAAUCGCUAGUAAUCGCAGAUCAGCAUUGCUGCGGUGAAUACGUUCCCGGGC
rnacentral:rRNA from 1 species